rnacentral:rRNA from 1 species
CCUACGGGAGGCAGCAGUGGGGAAUAUUGCACAAUGGGGGAAACCCUGAUGCAGCGACGCCGCGUGAGUGAAGAAGUAUUUCGGUACGUAACGCUCUAUCAGCAGGGAAGAAAAUGACGGUACCUGACUAAGAAGCCCCGGCUAACUACGUGCCAGCAGCCGCGGUAAUACGUAGGGGGCAAGCGUUAUCCGGAUUUACUGGGUGUAAAGGGAGCGUAGACGGCAGCGCAAGUCUGGAGUGAAAUCCCAUGGCUUAACCAUGGGACUGCUUUGGAAACUGUGCAGCUAGAGUGCAGGAGAGGUAAGCGGAAUUCCUAGUGUAGCGGUGAAAUGCGUAGAUAUUAGGAGGAACACCAGUGGCGAAGGCGGCUUACUGGACUGUAACUGACGUUGAGGCUCGAAAGCGUGGGGAGCAAACAGGAUUAGAUACCCGUGUAGUC